ensembl:lncRNA
GUUACUAUUAUCCAGAACUUUAUUUCCAAGUUAUGAUUUGUGGUUUCUGUUCUCUAUAUUCUUUUUAAUAAAUUUACCUAUUAUUACACCUUGACCGUCUGAAUUGGAUUAAAUUUUGCAUCAGUUAAUGGAGGCACCGCUGGGAUACUGAUCGAUCCUUGAAGUAUAUUUGAUGCAUCGCAAGGAAAGAUAAAGAGAGGCGAGUUGCUCAUCUAAUUCUCUUUAUGGGCUUCUGUUGUGCAAACCUGCCGAGUCUAAGAGCUAUAUCUGCGGACCCAUUUCGUUCAUUUUUCUUGACUGCAGCAAGAGAACGAAUUUGGGGCGGUACGGUGGUUUAACCGUGUGUGAGGAAUGAGCGCGCGCUCUGUGUUUGAGAACGGCGAUUUGCGGCAUUAAAUGUGUUGUUCACUGAAGGGGUUUACCGACAGUGUGGAUAAUUCUGCGUAGCAAGUAUACUUUGCGGGGUUUACCGGAGGUGUAUUGCGGGCGCUUUCAGGGUUUACUGAAGCGCAACAGUUUUUGAGACACGCGCUGUCAGGGAUUACUGCAGCGUGCUGGUCAGAUCUGUAUGUCGAUUCUCUGUUUUGAUAUAGGCUCUGGGAUGGACUCGGCAGUCUUGACACUGGCAGAAUUCCACCUUGCGACUAAAUUCUAAAAUCCAUAUAUUUUGACAAUUGUUUGACUGUGGCAGAAUACCACAUUGUAACUAAGUUUAACUCUGUAUAAUUGUUAUAAUUGUCAGACGGCUGAUCAAAUUAAACAAAUUAAGAGUAAAGAGAACACCAAAUUUAACAAUUUUAUUAAGUGUAUUUAAUUUAGUGUAUCUGAAUUGAAUAAAACUUUUUCUUUGUUGGGGGUGUCAACACACGAAGUAAUGGCUCAUGUGUAUGUAAAAGGAGCUGCUCCUAACGAAGCUCUCACUGCUCAAGUAGCGAUGUUAGGCAUCGGAAAUCAAGAAAAGAUUAAACAGAAAAUGGUAAAGAUGAAUUUAAAGAAAUAUGGGGUCCGUAGGCAGUGUGAAUUGGGGGUGAUGAAGGAAGUUAAUGAUCCUAGGAAACAAAAGAAAUAUGCACAAGUUUUGUGUUGUUUGAGGAUUGUGCGAGCAAAAAGUCUUUUAACAGAUCGCAAUGGAAGAAUAGUUUAUGUGGAUAAACUGGCACAAGCCGCUAGAGACACUACGCAAGAUAUGUGGGAUUUAUUAGACAUUGUAACUAAGGAGACAAGAGCAGAUACAGGGAGAGUUCCUAAAUUGAUAAUAUCUAUAGCUGGCAGGAAUAUGCUUCGAAACUAAAAGCAGUGAUUGCCAAGGCAGGGAGACAUGUGACGAAUGCCUCAGAGAAUGGUGGUAUACAGGUUGCCGCUAUUUCUCCUGGGGACCUGGAGGAAGUUGAGAAUGAGUGGGGCGAGUAUGUGAAACUGCGUCCAAAAUUACCCCGCUAUAGUGAAAUAGAUCAGGAAUCGAUAGCGGCUGGUCAAGUGGGGGUUUAUCGAUCUAUGGGUGUGCGAGAUUUGACUAUUGUAAAUACAUUGCCACUCAUGAAAUCUAACAGUACCAAUUCUGAAUUUUGGGAUCGUUUGUGGGUAAUGGCAAGAGCCAACCGCCUAGCAGUAAAAGAUAAAAGAUCCGUAUUCAAUUUGUGAGCAAGUCUGCCCGUCUACAUACACGGGACAGAUUGUUAAUCUCACCCCUCCUUUACAGCCACCAGCGAAUGUAGAUGAUUACGCAACUCAGUACAGAGUGCUGCGUACUGAAGUACAGCAUGCAGUUGGAAAUGGAAUUCAGACUUUCACUAAUGUGACAAUGAUUAGGCAGGGUCCUAAAGAACCAUUUGUUGAUUACACUGAGCGAUUCACAAAGGCACUGAAAGAAUUUGUGGCAGCACGAGGGGGGCCUGACUUAGAUUCUCCAAUCAUGCUCCACACUGCGAAGUCAAAUAUGAAUGCUAAAUUUACACAGUUGUUUCAUUCUUCUCUGUCAACAAUAGUUGACUGGUCUUCUUUUGUAGCCUGGGGACACAGGCUCAAGACAUCGUGGAACAACAAAAGAAGGGACUGGUUGCUGCAGUUGGUCAGCCCUCUGCUCCGGCAUUUCGCUGUUAUCAUUGCCAGCGCGAUGGUCACUACGCAAACAGGUGCCCUGAUCGAAAUUUAGAGCUUUCAGAAAGCCUAGUUCCUCUUUUCAACAACAGCUGACACCAAAACCACUUCCUCGAGAUCGUGCUAAAAAUAACCCUGGUGCAGAGAAGCAGGGUGCUGACCUGGAAGCAGGUUGAAAAACUGACAAGAGCUUUUGAGAAUACAGACUGACAGAUAGUGGCCUUCAUUUUAUAUGGGCACGAAGACCCUCGUCCAUUUUUACAUUCUAACUUUGGAGGCCAGGAUAGCUACAUUCUUGUGGGCCCCUGGAUUUGCCUUUAACAAACAAACAAAUGCAUCUUCAAGGAUUGAACCUUUGAAUGUUUUAGGUCCUAUACAUCCUCCAGUAUUCCAGUAUCCUCUUCGGAGAGAAACAGAGUGAGUUGCACAGGAAAUUGUGAACCAGCUUCAGGAAUCAGGGAUUUUGGUAAGGUGUACUUCCUCAAUGAACUUACCUAUGCAGCUUGUGAAAAAAAAAAAAAAAAAAAAGAAGCCAGAUGGUAGCUAUAGGUUAACUAUAGACUACACCGCAUUGAAUGCUGUGACUCCUAAAAUAACUCCUAUUGUUGCUAAUCCGUCAACCAUUCUUAAUGACAUUUCUCCAAACCAUCGCUAUUUUAGUGCAGUAGACAUAACCAAUGGUUUUUGGUUUUGUCCUAUCAGAGAAGAAGAUCAAUACAGAUUUGCCUUUCAAUAUUGUGACAACAUUCUUCUCGCAUCUCAAGAUAAAGCACAACACUUGAGUGUACUCACUCGGUUGUUGAAAAUACUCCAAGAGGUGGGUUUCCUCUUGAACAAACGAAAGGUCCAAUUGUUUCAAUCGGAAGUUACAUUUUAAGGUCAAAGUAUAGGUCGUGAGGGAAAGAGACCUCUUCCAGACCGGGUCAUAGCCAUCACUCAAUUAAAUAAGCCAAACAAAGUUACUGGUUUAAGAUCAUUAAUGGGGCUAUUUAAUUUUAAUCGGAUGUAUAUCCCAGAUUUUUCUGAUUUGGCUAAACCUCUAACAGAGGCUCUUAAAGGAGGCCUUCCGGGUGCUUCCCCUUUGGAGUGGACAUCAGACAGGGCUGAGUCCUUUACUCUCCUCUCCCACGUUAUAACCCCGGCAUGACAAAGACAUUCCAUGUAUGGACACGGACACAUGUUGGCCCAAGUGCUUAUAACGGUGUGCUGGGACAAUGUAAAGGUGACAAAAGUUAUGGCAUUGUUGGGUACUAUUCAACUUUGAUUCCCUCUUCCAUGAAUGGACAGAUGAAUGGACAGAUGAAGUGUUUGAUGGCCUUGGACUGUGCUGAGUGGGCGUUGAAGGUCACUGAGGCCAUCGUCUGUUACAAUCAGAUGAUCCUUCACUCUCCACAUCGUUUUCUACGCAUGCUCGCAGAGACAAAAAUAAAGUUGAUUUCAAAUCAACGACGUGCAAAAUGGGAAACUGCUCUCAUGAACCUUCAGCUCACUGUUGUUGCAGACAACCGGACAAAUCCUGCCUCCUUAAUGGAGAAUGAGGGGAGUACACAUGACUGUGCCAAGGUAAUUAUCUGUGACGGGACAUUUUGUCAGAGAUGAACCAUUUUCAGAUUCUCUGGACAUGUUCGUGGAUAGCAGCAGUUUCUACGAGGGUGACACGCGCUAUACGGGCUGGGCAAUAGUGGAGGGGAAGACGGGCGAGGUCUUGGCUGAGGGGUCGCUUCGGGGAGGAAGUGCUCAGAUAGCUGAAUUGCAUGCCUUAAAAGCUGCCUUAAAUCUGGCCCUUAAACUAACUGCAGGUGAAAAUAGCCCCACUAAUGUAAAAAUUUUUACUGAUAGCGCAUACAGCUACCAUGUAGUGCAGAGUUAUGUCCCUGUUUGGAAACGUCGUGGGUAUUUGACCACAGCAGGUACGGUACGCCAAUAAGUCAUCAAACCGUCAUUAAAGAAAUUCUUGACACGUGUGAGAAAAUUCCACCAAACAGUGUCGCGAUAUGUAAAGUCACAGGUCACAGUACAUUCAAUGAUUGGUUGGCAAAAGGAAACUCUCUAGCUAAUAAGGCUGCGAGAGAAGCUGCAAAGGGUGUGGCACUUGAGGAAGUAGCUGUUAUUUUCCCUGUUCAUCCUGACUGCACGGGUUCCAAAACUUUAUCUAAAUUGUACACAACUGAGGAUCGUGAAAUGUGUCAGAAAUUAGGAGCUACCUUAACUGAAGAAGGGGUUUAUGCUCUGAAUGACAAAGUCAUUCCGCCUAGCGGAUAUCAAACUAAACUAAUUGAUUUGUACCACAGCAUUGCACACCAAGGGGUUCUGAAAACAUAUGCUAUGUUACAACAAACAUGGUUUUGGUCAGAGAUGUUACAAACUGUGAAGGAUAGACUGUCCAGAUGUAUCCACUGUUUGCAAACCGAAGCCAUAAUUUGGAAAAGGUAAAAUCCCAAUUGGUCACAGUCCUCGCCCGCGAGGACCAUUCACACAUCUACAAUUGGAUUUUAUUUCGUUACCUUCUGAUCGUGGGUACAAAUAUGUACUAGUUUUUGUUUGUAAAUUUUCCAGAUGCUCUGAAAGGGUAUAUUGGAUUUUCAGUCCCUCUCAUUGCACCAUGGUUCGGGAAUGAUAGGUUUUCAUAAAAUAUGGGUAUCUUUACUGGGAUUUAGGUUAUAAGUAAUGUCUGUAUUUGGUAUCUGUGAGGUGACUGAGGGUCUGACCUAGGUCAGGAAUGCAAUAACAGUGAUUAUUAAUUUAGCCCGGCUUCCAGAGAAUAAUACAUAUAUACGUUUAUUGCAAAGAGUUAUUUUACGAUAUAACAAAUUAACCAAAAUUCAUCAUGGUUGUAUAAGACAUAUAAAAAGGAAAAAUAAAAAAUAAGUCAAGUUUCUUUCUAAAAAGGUCUUUGGGUUUUAACUGUACCUUCCCCUAAAGCUCCGUUGUUGCACUCAGGUCCUUCGGGUCCAUUGAAAGACACUUUACAGGAGUAUCUUAAAGUACUCACGUGCGCAUUGAAGAAUGCCCAUUUCAGUGCCCUCAGUGCUCAACAUGCUGGAGAUCUUAAAAACACUAUAUUCAAUGUAAAGGCUAAAAACCCCGUACAAGUGGGGGAUGAGGUAAUGAUACAAAAAAUAGGGAACUUAGGACCAAUGUCCUCCAGGUAUGAGGGUCCUUAUUUGGUGUUGUUGACUACUCCAACAUCUCUUCUUGUUGAAAUCGAGCCAGGGCUGACUCGAUGGAUGCAUCUUGCACAAGUGAAGCCUCUGUCGCCGCUUGCUGAUACUAACUCUCUUUCUAAUGUGAUUUAGUCCAACAGGUGCAGUAUUUUAUAUCCAAGGAAUGGCUGCUAAGGAAGAACAAUGACUAAUUGUUUCCUCUCUUUAGGUUCUCAACUAUGAUUCCAUCCGGACCUGUUGUGUUAAUAAUAAUAAUAAAAAAAAUAUAUAUAUAUAUAUAUAAAAAGAGAGACUGAAAACCAUGGUGUUUAUGUUUGUGUGUAUUGGUGUUGUCCUGUUUGGUUGUCUAUGUGUCGUUGUGUGUGUUGUGUUUUUGUUUUUAUCCCAAAAUUUCUGCUCCUACUAUUCUUUAUCUCUAAAAGGUACGAGUGCAUGCUGUCACAGAAAUAUUCUGCGACUGGUUCUAAGGGUGACUCUUUGAUGUGACUUCUGCAACAGUGCAGCUCAUUGACAUUCUGGGAGUGGUUGCUGUGCUCAUGGCUGGACAUCAGUGUUUCAUUGCAUCAUCAUAACAUCACUCGUUAACUAAUUCUACGUCAUCUGAGAGACCUGUGCUAAAAUCUACCAGCUGAUAGAUAUAUAUAGAUUUACAAAUUCCUACAUUAAGAUGCCUUAAAAGAUUGUUGAUCAAAGAGAUUCUUAUUCUCCCAUUUAUACCAGUAGUGAUGAGGAAAUCUAUACCUUGCAGGUGAAGGGUAAGGAAAGGUAUGAGAUGUUGAAAACGAUCAACGAAAGUUUGGAAAUUAACGACAUGGUACCAUAAGGACAAAUAUCUUCAGCUACUAUCUCCUAAGGGCAAGAAGAGAAAGAACGAUGAUAGAGUUUAGAGUUGGGAAAGAUGGAAGGCUGUGGUAAGUCCUCAACCCAGCAAAAGUCCAGGGGACGCCAGGGGUCGAAUUUCCUUAGGAGUUCUCGUCUGGCCAUCUUGGUGAAGAUCUUUGUUAAUUUUAAGGUAGCUGGGGUUAGAGAGGUAUCUACAGUACUAUCUAUCUGAAAUUGUUUUAUUGAUUUUCUAUAUUUUCAUGUAUGCAUCAUUUAUUUUUCUUUUGAAUUACUCUGUAUUUUUGGUUUUGAUUUAAGGAAAAGGUUGUGGCGAGUCUUUUGAUAAGACUCGAGUGGGGGAUUGGUGUGUGGAGAUUCUAAGAAAUCCACAUGGUGAUAGAGAUUCUGAGAAGAAGUCCAUGUAUUUAAAUUAAACCCAAGUGUUGUUGAGAGAUUCUGAGAAGUCACGUACUCAAAAUGUGUUCUAUUCAUAAUGAUAAGUUUUAUUUCAAAAGUUAAAAAUUAAUAUUUCAUGGUAAGGAUCUGUCUCAUAUAUAUAUUAACAGGUUUCAUUUUUAUAUUCAAAAAUGUUUUUGGUAAACUUUAUGGUAUAUUUCAUAUGUAAUUUCACAGUAUUUCUAACUGCGUAGUCAGCUGAGUCUGUUUUGCAUAUGAAGUUGAACUGCACGUAUUGUUCUUUUAAAUCAAUAUUUCUUAGAAUUAUCAGUAUGAUACUUUGAAUCUAAAAGAGGAAGAAGUCCAAAAUCGAGACAUUGACUAGACUAUUUUUAAAGGUUAGGUGUUAUUAGUGAUAGCCAGAUGACGACUUAUGUCUAGAACAACAGUAUAUAAGAUAGACUCUGCAAAAUAGAAUAGGGUUUGACUUUCUGAGACUCUGGUCUCUCUAUCUUUUCAGCUCACUUCCUCUUCUUUGGCUUCACUCGACAACUCCUCUUAGACUCAGACUUAGAACUCUUACAGGUUUUUAUUCAAAUUCAGAUACCUUGAAAUUCAGAUACUUUGAUACUCUGAUACUUUGAUAUUUUAAUAUUUUAAUACUAAUAUUUUGGUACUUUUGAUUCGAACAGAAUAAUUGUUUAUGUUUUACUUACAAUUUUAUUAAUGUUUUGAUUAAUACUGGUUGGGUUCAAUCCAUCAUAAAUUGAUUGUUAUUAAAAAUGUACUAACAUUGGAUUUACAUUUUCUAUAUUUGAAGGUUGUUACUAUUAUCCAGAACUUUAUUUCCAAGUUAUGAUUUGUGGUUUCUGUUCUCUAUAUUCUUUUUAAUAAAUUUACCUAUUAUUACACCUUGAC